rfam:Oryza nivara chromosome 11, whole genome shotgun sequence.
AAAAAGGCAAACCCUAGAUUUACGUGUCUAGCUUUGACUGUCCGUCUCUAAAGAAAUUUUUUUAUAAUAAUAUUUUAUGCGUGACUUAUCUUUUUAAUUGUUUUCAAAAAAUUUUUAAAUAAGACGGACGGUCAAACGUUGGGCACGGAAACCAGAGUUUGUCUUUUUU